UUUAUUUUAUUGGAGAGGUAGUAAAAUCAUUUUGCCUUGUUCCAGAGACCCACUCUUCUCCAACAGCUGUUCAAUGUUUAUGAAUACCUCAUAUGUCAUCUGAUUUACUUGUGCAGUGACCAUGCUAAUGCUGCAACAUUUGCAAUAUUGUUUUGAUGAAAUGGUGGGGCAAAAUUGCGAAGGAUUCAAUUCCGAGGAGAAAAAAGCUUGACUGCCAGCAUGAAGAUGAGCGAUUACCUCAGAGCAGCCCUAGGAGAAGGAAUCCAUGUCUGGUUUUGAAAACAGAACAAGCAGAAGAAAAAAAAGGUGGUGUACAGUCUUGUUGCUUGAUUGUUUGAUCAAGUCUAUCCGGAGUACUGAGUACGUGGCCUCUAUAAUUCUCGAAUGCUUGUUAUGUGUCCUUGGGCAUCUUAAUAUUUGAUAUGGCGUCGAGCCAAGUCGCGGAGCAGUAGCUAGAUUUCUUGUUUUCAGAAAGUGACUGGACUUCUCAUUGCUCAAAUAUAAUCUAUUUCAUUAUGUCUUACCUGAGAUCUCACGUUGUAGUGAAACGUAUAUGAUGGUCAAAUGUCAAAGCCUAAUAUGUUUAGGAAGUAUGCGACCAUCCGCAUCAUUCAAAACCCUGGCGUGUGUGCAAGUACACUGAUGCAGUGACUCGUGUGACACAUUAGCAAUGCUGCCCCCUCUGUGCAAGUACACUACUUUUUAAGAUUUCAAUGUGAAUUACAUAUGAAGCAAAAUGAGUGAAUUUUAAAAGUUUUAAAGUAUGUCUAUAUACAUUCGUAUAUAGUCUGUAUUAAAAUCUUUAAAAAGGACAAUAUUUAGUCACCGAGAGAGUACAAGCCAAAUGCGUCAACCAAUGUUUGGCAAGCCUGUUGGUUUUGCUUAAUGUGCAAAGGUGGGUGGUUGACAAUAUAUAGUACUAGUACCAAAAAAAAAGUAGUACCAAAAGUACAAUCCAACCAGUAUGUUUGCUAGGAAUAUUAUAUUGGAUUUCUCAAUAUAAAAAAUAUGGGUAAGUCUCAAGCCGCUUAUAUGACAUUUAGGUGUCUUUUUAGAGAAAGCCUUGAUGACGCACUUUAUUAUUUGGCAAGAAUAGUUAGAUCAUUUGCAAGAACAUCAGGGAUAUAACUUUUGGGACAAUUGACAGAUCUCCCUUGGCACGACUAGCUAAAGUGUGUACCACAGUGUUACCUUUUUAGGAUUAAACUCAAAGAAUACAUGAUAAAAAAAAACCCGAGCCAAAAAAGUACAUUCUUCAUAGGUUGCUACUUGACUUGCUCAGUUCCCUCCUACCUGCAUCGUGGCGACGUCCUUNNNNNNNNNNNNNNNNNNNNNNNNNNNNNNNNNNNNNNNNNNNNNNNNNNNNNNNNNNNNNNNNNNNNNNNNNNNNNNNNNNNNNNNNNNNNNNNNNNNNNNNNNNNNNNNNNNNNNNNNNNNNNNNNNNNNNNNNNNNNNNNNNNNNNNNNNNNNNNNNNNNNNNNNNNNNNNNNNNNNNNNNNNNNNNNNNNNNNNNNNNNNNNNNNNNNNNNNNNNNNNNNNNNNNNNNNNNNNNNNNNNNNNNNNNNNNNNNNNNNNNNNNNNNNNNNNNAGAACCUACAACUAUGAACCCCCACCCCCCGCGCGCGAAUCACUGCUCUGGUAGCUCAUGUACCCCUAUCUGCUAUUAAUUAUCUUCUAAUGAAAUUUGCAUACAAACUUCUUCAGAGCCCUGACCUAUCUUGGAUAUAUUGGUACCAUUAUCGCUACUCGACUACUAUUGCCAACAAAACCUCAAAACCUUCUUUCAUUUGGAAGACAAUUAACACCAAACUACAUACUCUACAAAAUAUCUCCUUUGUGUUCACUAAUAACGACCUUUCUACUUUUUUUUGGCUUGAUAGAAUUGUCUUACCACUUCUGCCUCCAUCGAGCUUGUUGUUGUGUUGUUUUUGUUGUACGAUUUCGAGCAUAGUGACAUUGAUGCUGAGAGGCACCUCACCCAUGGGCUUCCGUUCUCAACCAAGAAUGCCUAUCGCUUGUCCCGUGCCUCUCAUGUUUGGACGCGUUGGGCCUCCACUCCUACCUCCAUCGACAACGUGCCCUCCCUGCUUGGCCUCGACAACGACAUUUGCCCCCGGUUGCCCUCUUCAUCCUUCGGAAGAUUUGGGACUUUAGGAACGCAAAUGUCUUUCAUAGUGAGUCUCACUCGUCUGAUGUAACUAUUCGAAACAUUGUUAGUGACUUUACACUUUGGAUAUCUAGAUUUAGGGAUUCGAAGAAGAAGGUUUGACAUGUCAUGGUGGCAAUACCUUGCCUCGCGCUCUAUCACAUCUCUGUAAGUUGGCCGUUUUUGGCCCUUUUGAGUAAUAACCAACAUGUGGUUGGAUGGUUAGAAGGAGAGUAGUAUCCCCAACCUACCAGGGUUCAAGUCCUAAACUUGGCACCAUCGAUCGCAUUUCCUGGAUUUAUUUCAGAGUGACGAUGUGCGUUCAGUGGGAGGAGAUGUUCCGAUCGACUAGGAAGGCGACUUUGUCAAUCUAAAGAUGAUGUGCCAGCUCACUUUCUCGGAGGUGCUCAUAAGGGUAGGGUGCGCGUUCAUUCUUUAGGAUGACUAUAUGUGCAUAUGUAUGAGUGUGUGAGUUUGGACUGAGUUAAAAAAAAGCGAGGACCCUCCCCUCCCCCAGGGUAAUUGUUCAAAAAAAAACUUUUUCUAUAAAUCAAAUAGGCCGUAAAACAGUGAGGCCAGCCCAAUACUGAAGAUCCACCAAGGAAGUGGACAGGCCCGCAUAGUCCACUUCAUCCUUGGUUCCGUCCGAAGUGCGCAGCGGUAUAGCGUUCAUAUCCUCCUAACAAACCCUAGACCCACACCCUCUCACGGCGAUCCCGCCGGCGCCGCCGUCGUCGUCGCAGCCGCCGCCGCGCCUGCGAAAGAAAGAAGUCGCUCCGAUGGACGACAAGGUGAGCAGUCCGCAACAGCGCUCCAGCGACGCGUCCGAGGUUCUGGGCCACAUCCGUGGGUACUACAAGGAGGCGCUCGGCCGGCUACCGGUGAAGGAGAUGCCGGAGCUCAUCCCCUCGCUCCUCGGCACCGGCUUCUGCUUCGGGCUCCUCGACCCCGUCUCCAACAUCAUCUUCAACACCGUGUCCAGCAGCAAGGACGACGGCCCCACCAAGAAGAUGUCCAAGAAGAGGAAGAGAAGGUCGCAGAUCGAGGCAGACCUGCUCGAAGACUCCAGCGACGGCGACGGCGAUCUGUUCGAAGAUUCCGGCGACGGCGUCGUCCAGCGGUCGCUCAGCGGCCUCGUCACCUUCCUCGUCUGCCGCUUCCGCUACCUACACAGGCGGGAAGCUCUGCGCUACCUGCGGCUGGCCAAGGCUGAUCUCGAUUUGGCCGCCCGCCUCGUCCAGCUCGACCGUGGGAUUACAUCGGCCAUCUGCUCCUCCCCCCUUACCACCAAGAUAGCCCCCUUGACCACCGCCGUCACGGUGGCCCUCAAGUGCGCCGCCACCACUGCGAAGCACCCCUGCCCUUCCACAUUCACGGCCACCUGGUCAUCCAUGUCAUCCCCUCCGACUUCAGCACCAGACACCACCGAUCGUCUUCAGAAGCUGCUCCCCACUUUACCUCAGCCGGGGCUCGGGCUUGGCCACCUCGAUGCGUCUCAGAUUCGAACUCUAAGAUCGCAUCUCACUAGGUGGAUGAAAUGCAAGAAGGGGAUGAAGGUUCCCCUUGAACUAAGAGCAUCAAUCAGCUCUGUGCUUCUGGAUAAAAUCCACAGUAUCUACCUCGAGGCAAUUGCAAACCUUCCAAGGGACGCCUUGUGCGAGCGCCACCAUCGCGGCCUCCUCAAGGCUGGUUACUGCUUCGGCCCCAUUGAUGACCCUGUCUCCAACGUCCUACUCAACACCAUUUGGUAUGACACUGCAUUCCCAGCUCAAGAUGAGUUUCUGAUAGACAUGCUCUGCACUAAAAGCCUUGCACGCUUGGAACAACGGUCAAUGGCUGGCCUUGUGACAUUUGUUCGUGCCCUAUUCCCUGAACUCGCCGAGAAUGUCGCCAUGUUAUAUCUACUUAAGGCCAAUGCCAACCUUCGUGAAGCCAUUUCAAAACUGCAGCUAGAAGAUCAUCAUUUGUCUGGAUCCUAUAAGAAAGCGUACAAGAUGGCCGCUCAGGUAGCAUGUCAUCCCAACCCAAAAGCGCUACGAGAGUUUGCCCUGUCAACUGCGCCAUCAAUCAUGUCCUCCGUACGAUCACUUGUGAAAACCACUGCACACACGUUAUCCUCCAGAGAAGUCGGUGACAUCUCUGCCCUGUUGGCAUCUCUAAGGCCGUCAGUCCAGAAAGUUCCCAAAUUGACGCCCUGUGCGUCUAGUUUUGUCUCACGCCGCCAGGCAAGGUUCGAGGAUGAUCAAAUUUUCUUUCGUGACACGGUUGAAGCUGCACUGAGAGAAUUUUCAAAGCAAUCUGUGGUGGGUUCAUUUUCCAAUCGAUCUUCACUACUGCUAAUAUGCUCACUGAUUUAUUACACUGUCUGCCUUGUUGUAGGAGGAGAUUGAGUAUCAGCUUCAUGUUAUAUGUGGUGUGGAUGCACAAGUAACAGAGAAUGGGGAGUACGGUUUCUACGACCUCGUAGAUGGAUACCCAUACUGUCAUAUCAACUUCUAUGCAGCACCAAAGGGUUCACCUUCUGAAGCUGGCACAGCCCCAACUCUGUUUUUCGUUGAAUGUAGCAAUGUUGAUGAAGAUGAAAAUGUGCUGCGUUGUUUUGUGGUAGAUCCAUCAACUGAUGAUGGUAAACUUUUCUUGUGCCUGCUUAAGCUUUCUGCAUUUAUAGAUGCUGCUUUACUAGUUUUGCACGCAUUCAUAAACCAAAACACAAACACUAGGCACUGGUUUUUAUGUUUGCUACACCCUCUGUGGAUUAAACUACCUAAGAAUGAAAUGAUUGAAUGAAAUGAUUGAUUGAAAUGGAUUGUUAGGCUGUUGUUGUCCUGAAAUACCCCUUUUGUGCUAUGUGCAGUGGUAGAUGCUGAAACUGUUUUAUCUAUAAGCAAAAGAUUUACUUGACUGUUAACGCGAGACACUUUGUCAUUUAGAAGGUGGUUUUGGUAAGUUGUGUUGACUUGCAGCUAAUUAUCGUUUCUUGUUUUGCUCUGUAAAAGGCCGUUGUUACCACUGUGAGUAUAGAGGGACCAGACUUGUGCAUCCUUCUUCUGGAACAUACCAUGGGUGUGAUGCAGAGUUUGAAGAAAUUGCUUCUGAUGGAUAUGGACUCACCAUUGAUGAACUUAUCUACCAUGGGAUGCGCAGAAGUGAGUUUAUGGGCUGGUUGCCUGAAGAGGAUUCAAUCUAUUUUGAUCCACGAUGGGACGUAAAAUUUGCCCAUUAUAUAAAUGAUGCUGCUAAGCCAGGGAGAACACCUGUUCAGUCAAACGGGCUGAUCGCACCAUAAUACUUUUUUUGGGGGUUGUGCUGUCAAACUUCAAAAUGUACAUUUAGUAUUUUGAAGUAUGUAUGCUGUGGAUGCAUGUUAUAUAUAGUAAUGUCGAUAUGUUCUUGUUAUUGUCAUAUAAUUGUUGCUGAACUUGAAACAUUCAGACUUUUUAACGAUGUGUCAUCAUCUUGUUUUGCUAUAGCAGAAGUGAUAACUGGUUAGCAGAUUGCAGGAACACAAAGAGUUCUUUUAUGCACUGUGUUGUGAGAACAGUAAUCCCACCUGGUGAUCCUAUUUAGCCCAUCAAAGCAUACACUAAGGCCCAAGAACAUAAGUUGUCUCCGUGAUCUAUGAACUCUUCCCUCUACUAGUUCACUGUGGGCCUAUGGACCAAAGAUUUUAUCCUGCAUCUACUGCCUUAAUGGCAGUUCUUUUUUUUUUUUUUGUCAUUUGUCAAGGAUCCAUAGCCUAUAUAAACCCUCCAUCAGAAUAGGAGAAGUUUGGAGAGGGUGUCGAGGUACAACUUACCCUACUACCAAACCUCCCUCCAUGCCUUUUAAACAUUGGACUAGGUAGUACUCUAUCGAGAAGUCUGAAUCUAUGUUCUAAGAGUGUCGAAUUUGCUAGUGCAUGACAAACUUCGCUCUAAGGUUGUUUGUUUAGUUGGCUAAGGCCGUUAUACAUACGCCCAAUUAGUCUUUGUUGCGAUCAUGUUACCAAUGAUACUGCCUUGAGCCCUAAUCUGUAGUUGUUUCCACAACAACAACAAUGAUGCCUUGGCCAACCAUUGUGUGAAGGCGCAAUUGCCGAAGCUACAUAGCCCCACACAAGCAAGUUUAGGCUGAAGGCGAAUCACCGCUCACAAAAUAAAAGUGUCGCCACCAGAGUAUUAGAGAUAAAAGGCGAAUCAUCAUCCAAGUAACAUUGGAUGCAUAUGAGCAUUGGUGAAGCCUCCCCAAGCCACACCGGGUGGCACUGAAGUGCCGCCACACAAAUACAAGCUUCAAAUGUCUCCGGCGAGGGGACACCCGGCCAUUCAACCAAUUUUGGAUGAAUCACAUGGCUUAAAGGGAGUCUGGACCCGUCGAGCCCAAACCUUUGACAUUGCUUACUCCCNNNNNNNNNNNNNNNNNNNNNNNNNNNNNNNNNNNNNNNNNNNNNNNNNNNNNNNNNNNNNNNNNNNNNNNNNNNNNNNNNNNNNNNNNNNNNNNNNNNNNNNNNNNNNNNNNNNNNNNNNNNNNNNNNNNNNNNNNNNNNNNNNNNNNNNNNNNNNNNNNNNNNNNNNNNNNNNNNNNNNNNNNNNNNNNNNNNNNNNNNNNNNNNNNNNNNNNNNNNNNNNNNNNNNNNNNNNNNNNNNNNNNNNNNNNNNNNNNNNNNNNNNNNGGUCGCCAUGCCUGGAAGCCCAUGGUUCAAUCCAACUUUGGGACUCCUCUUCAUUGUACUCCCCUCCAAACCCGAUGAUGACUCAAGAUCACUCGCUCACUCCUCCUGGAGAGCUUAGGAGAAAUCAAGGACACUCGCAGGAGGCCAACUCUCCAGAAGCACAAAGUGAGCCGACAAGGAGCAUGCCCCAUAGAGGUUGCACCCUGCUACUUGAUGAGAGUAUUGUUUGGCCACAAAGAGCAAGAGGUUGGUAGCGAGCAGCAAAAUUACCAGUUCAAAGAAGGAAAAAUAUAUCAAUCUACCAUAGCAAAGGUUGCCAGUUAUCAAUCUAUCAUUGCAACGAGGGAAAAUGUAUCCAUCAAUCAUCGUCAGCCCAAAUUUCUAAGAAAUACCCAAACCACCCUCGAUUUGGAAUAUACCGUGGUGAUGUAAAAGCCUCAAUUUUCACUUACAAAAAAUUCUGCAUAAACAGUGAGCCGAGAAUCAAUGCGCAAAUUUUACUAGUCAGAGGAUCCAAUGGACAACUGUCAAUGGUGGCUUCAGGUAAGAAUAUGACAACACAUCAGAAAUCCCCUCUAGCUCAUUGACGGAAUGCAAAUUUCGAAGGCCAAAUGAAUUUUUCAAAUAAAGUGAAAAGCACAUCAAAUAUGUCAAAUCAUUUUUCAACUUGAAAUUUUCAGCACGUGUAGUUAUUCCAAGAAACAGUCAGACUAUGCCACUAGAGCCUUUCAAGUUGGUAGAUAAAACUGGGAGAUGUCCAAUUGUCCAGGGUCAUCUGUUGACAGCACUUCAUUUAAGUUUGCAGUCUCAAAUAUCUUUACUCAUUAUCUAAAUAACACUAGCAAGGAGGCAAACAGACAAACAGAAUUGAUGCUCUAUUUUAUUCAGGCAAGCUGCAAUAAGCAAUAGCAACAUUCAGAGAAUUAAGUGCACCCAGAGCUGCAAAAACCAGUGAAUAGAUCAAACUAGAAUAUUUUGCACAGCGGAAAUAUGCUAGCAACAGAGAACUAGUGGUGUUAUAUCCCAUCCCAAACAGCAGAAAACUAAUGUGAGAAGGGGGAAAUCACAGUAAGCCACUCAAGAUCCUGCUAGAAAUGACCUAACACAUGUUUGACGUGAAUCAAACAAUCAAUGAUCUAGAUGGUUUAAUGGAUUUCACUGAUCAUUCUCAUUUAGAAGCAUGAUACCACGUGAUUAGCCCGUCCAGAAGUCCUAGAUACUCAAACAGCAAGAAAUAGACAGAAGGCAAAAGAACUAAAUGUAUGCAAGCUCUGAAUUACUGGAGCUCAAAACCAAACAUGGUAUCGAGAUCACACAACAUAGAAGCCGCUACGGUGUUGAAGCCUGAACUAUGGUAAGAACGGCUAACAAAGGAUUAAAGUUAGAAGUUUGGAGUUCCAGACCUAAGGCAAUUGCAACAUCAUUCAAAUUGCACUAAUAUUUUGGCAAUGCCGAUAAAGAUGCUAACCACUAGUGCGUCCCGUACCCCCUCUUCUUCCUCCUCGGAUUCUGUUAGCCCCUCGUCCUCCUCCUCCCCGGGUUCUGUUGCCCCCUCGCCCUCCUCCUCCUCCUCGGGUUCUAUUGCCUCCUCGUCCUCCUCCUCGGGUUCUGUUGCUUGGCGCUCGUUGAGGUGCGUCACUCUCGGAAUCGUCACUCUCAGAAUCACUCUCACUCACAAGGGUAUCAGUGGAAAUGGAGUUUGUUUCUUCAACUGCAUCUAUAUAAUCAUUGUCCACAAUGUCCACAACUAGCUUCUCUUCUGAAAAAUUAAAACGAACAAUUAUGAUCGAAAUAUACAGUACAUGUCAAAAGAGAAUGAAAAUAGUAUUGUGUUAGUACAGUAGGACGCAUAGUCAACUCUUGGGAGAGGAAGCUUAUUACCUGUUUCAUUCUUAUGCUCUUCUGUGUUCUCCUUGCCCUUCCCGUUCUUUGCCGGUUCCAUCUGAGGGUGGUUUCUGCAAAAUGUGAUGGAAUCUGAGACAAUAUUUUGGUACAAAAAUGUUGCACGUGAGCACAUACGGAUUUCAUGUCUUGGAAAUUCUAGAAGCAUUAUAUGUGUAUAAAGUAUAAACGGUCCGUUAAGCGAUAGGCGUUAGACAACUGUUUUGCCUCUGCCUAGCACCUAGCUCGCCUAAGCGCUCUUUGCGUGGACACGGCAGCAGAGGCGGCCGGGUGCAAUUUUCAGAGCAUACAAGCCGGAAUUUUUCAUGCAAUUCCGUUAUGUCAAAGUAAUGGCAGGGCCGUACCCGAGGAUCCGGGGGCCCGGUGCAAAAUAGGAUGCAAUUAGGCUCUUUAUAUGAAGAAAAUCGUAUUUCCUCUGUUCGAAAAUACUUGUCGGAGAAAUGGAUAAAAAUGGAUAUAACUAGACCUAAAAUACGUCUAGAUACAUCCAUUUUUCCGACAAGUAUUUCUGGACGGAGGGAGUACUUAUUUAGCAUACUAUAAACAUAAUCUUCGUAAUAAUAAUAAUACAAGAGAGGUGGAUGUUGAGAAGAAAAUCUAUAGAUGAGAGUGGAGCAUAUGAAUCCAUGCCACCCUCAAAUUUCUUUGAAGAAUUUGUGAAGUCAUUUGGUUCAAGGAUAACGGAAAAACUGGAGAAGAAUAGUAGCAGAACAGACUGUACUAGUUCCGGAUAUGAUGCUUGAGGAAUUUACUAAUCCAACUAAGUGGUAAUUUAUACUAGUAUUAAAUGUCAUUUAAAUGGAGAGAGAGGUCAAGAGAAAGGCGUGCGCUUGUGUACUGGCCUUGGAAUCUGAAACUCGUUGGCAUUGGAGGUUGGAACCUUGCACAGCAGAUGAACGUUGCUUGGAUAUUCCCGUGAUUAAUACUACUAACUGCCAUUUAAGUUAUUUUUUGGGGCCCCAAAAUUUUAGGGGCCCUGUGCCACCGCACAUGCUGCACCUGCUUCCCAUACGGGCCUGAGUAAUGGAAAGGGGUCAUAUGCCCGGUUCAAAAAAGAGAAAAAACAGCAAUUUUGACAUGCUUAACAACACGAGUAGCAGCAGGCACAAGGAGUAGCAACAGACCAAUAGCAGCAGCAGCAGCAGCCAAGAGACAGCAGCAUCCCAAGCAAUCAAGCCGCGUGCAGAUUCCAUGGAGCCAGCGGGAGGCGCAGGCCGCAGAGGAGCGGAACCCACAGAGACGGCACGAAUAAAGAGCAUGGGAAUUAAGCACCGAGGCACAACUCUACAGCAGGGGAGGUUGGGACCGGGUCACCUGAGGGGGGAGAGGAUGAGAAGAGCUGCCGUUGGUGUCGGGGGCUCGGCGGCGAGGUCGAUCUGUCGAGGUCAAAGGGUGCGCGGCGGCCGGCGUGACGAGGAGUAGGAGAAGCUCGAGGUCGGGGUUGGGGACGAGGAGCGACGAGCCGAUGAGACGAGGAGGAGCUCGACGUUCGCCCGCCGAGGCGCCGACCCUCGCAGAGGGCGUGGAGGAGAGGGAAGAUUCGGGACUGGGAAAGAGAGACUGCAGGCGACGAAGAAGAGAAAGGUGAUGGGAGGGGUGAACCACGCCCAACCCGCCCUGCUGCCAGUGCCCUGUGGAACUCCGCCAGCUGGGGAGUAACUGGCACGUGGGUCCCUGUACUAUCGUCCCCCUAUUGGGUAUACUGAUCCGAUAAACCGCGGCACCGCAAAAUUCGUUUAUGGGAUACUGUUAAUUCAUUUUGCUGUAAUGUGGACUGCACGGCAGAGCAGAUAAUGUAAAACGUACUGCAUAAUUUAUACUCCCUUCGUUCCUAAAUAUUUGUCUUUUUAGAGAUUUCAAAUGGACUAUCAUAUAUGGAUGUAUAUAGACAUAUUUUAAAGUGUAGAUUCACUAAUUUUGCUCUGUAUGUAGUCAUUUGUUGAAAUCUCUAAAAAAACAAAUAUUUAGGAACGGAGGGAGUACCAUACUAGUUCCAACCAUUAUACUUCGCAAGAAUUUAAAUAUAGUUCAUCACAAACUUGAAACAUACUCCCUCCAUUCCAAAAUAUAGUGUGCCCGCGUUUUCCGAGGUCUAACUUUGACCAUAAAUUUAACCAACGAGACCAACUGCGGCGGGAGAAAAAAUUAUAUAUUAAAAACUUCUUUCGAAUACGAAUUCAUUGAUAUAAUUUUUGCUCCCGCCGCAAUCGGUCUUGAUAGUUAAAUUUACGGUCAAAGUUGGAGCACGAGGAUAGAGGAAGCACUACAUUAUGAAAUGGAGGGAGUACAAGAUUUAAAACAUAAAUUCUAACUAGCCAUCCUUCUUGACAUGGAGAUGAAACUCCAUCGCGGAGCCGGGCAGGGCGAACGCGAAAUCGUACUGUUCCUUGGCCACCUCUAGCCGCGCGGCGACCACUUCUUCUUUGGCGGCAACCGCCUUCUUCGCCUCGAAGAACUCAUGCCCCACCCCCCAGAGGCGCUUGGUCGUCGCCCAGAGGAUCUUGUGGAGGCGGUCGAACUCCCGCCAGGCCCACCGGCCACCGUUGUGGGAGAGGGCAUCGCGCUCCCGCGCCUCCACCGGCGGGCGGAUGGCGGAGACCCUGACCUCGUCGUCAUGGCGGGGCCGCUUGUGGGGCGGCGAGCAGACGUGCCCCCCACGGCCACCCCGUCCGUGUCCAGCGCUCGACAUCGGGACGGUCCUUUUUGGCCGUGCGCGCGGGAAAGUGCGGCCAGAGAUAGAAGAAUUUGUCGUCGAAGAGGGAGAGAAUGCGGUGGAGGAGGAUUGUGGAUUUGCUAGGUACAAACCCUAAAACGCGGCCGCUCCGGUAUAUAUAGCGGAUACGCUGGCGUUUUAUGGGCUGGGCCAGGCCGGUUUAACGGUAUUUUGCUCGAGCCGGUUUUUUCCCCGGAUACUAUAAAUCUGCCGAAAUUUUACGGGCCGGCAAGCUUAUACGGGGUCUGCUAGAGAUGCUCUUACCUGGUUCCGAUUAGGUCUUUGUGAGAGGCUGGAUCGGGUUGUCUCUAAUUCAAAGUGGAUGCAGCUUCUAGAGUGGAUUUUUGGAACCCGGGUGUAUUGGAGGACUUUAUUUUAAAUACUUUGAAAAUCACAUUUAAGGUUUCAAAAAAUUCUGAAAAAAAUUCUAUGUGAUCAUAAGGAUGUAUAUUACACAUGUGUAAAGUUUGGUAAUGAAAUAAGUAAAUAUGCGACCUAUACAAAAAUGACAAAAUGGUGAUUUCCAAAUAGUGAAUAAUGCAUGCACUGUUCAUCUUUCCAAAAUCACGAUUUUGUCAUUUUUGUGUAACUCACAUGGUUACUUAUUUCAGCAUCAAAAUUUACACAUGUGUAAUAUACAUUCAUAUAAACAUGUUGAUUUGUUUUCGGAAUUUUUUGAAACUUCAAAAUAGCAUUUUGGCAAAGUUCACAAAAUAGGGCUCCAAUGCACCUGGGUUCCAAAGUGACUUUUUGAUGCAGCUUCACCCACUCGUUAUACUUUGUAAUCUUGAGAUGGGCCAGUCAGAUGUCUUACUAUCUGUGAGAAGCUUGAUGCGGUCCACAAGGACUUGCACCAUUGGGAGUGGCAGAGCUACAUAAAAAUAGUUGGACGGGCCAGAGACCACAAAUUUUUCCAUGUAUCCCGCUAACAACUGUCUCACUAAUAUUCAAAAUAGUAUCGAGAGGAUCCGAAAGUCUUUCGGAGUCACGGGAAGGGUUUCGGUGAAUAUCGGGUAAUGCCGGGUAUUACCGAUACAUAUACAUAGGUGGAAAAUGUUUCCGGUGAUGUAAAAUUAUAUAUAUAAUGGUUUGAAAGUAUUUAGAAUAAUUUUAUAUUUAAUUUAAUAUCAACGGGCCUAAUAAGGCCAAGAGGUGAAAGACAACUUGGCCACAAAGGCUUCAUCGACGGCCUAAUUACUGCUUAUGAAUGUCUGCAUUUUACAUUUAAUUUAUUUUAAUUUAAUAUCAACGGGCCUAAUUACUGCUUAUGAAUUUCUACAUUUUAUGAAGAGGAACAGGGCAAAGAAGCACCAAUCUUGUGCCUUGAAGCUGGACAUGAUGAAGGCAUAUGACAGGGUUGAGUGGGCGUACCUCCAUGCCAUAAUGCUUAAACUGGGAUUCAAUAGUAAAUGGGUGGACAUUGUGAUGAGCCUGGUUACUUUGGUACAGUUCUCAGUCAUGUUUAAUGGGAAAAAGCUCCAAUAGUUUAAGCCAUCGCGUGGGAUCCAGCAAGGGGGCCCGAUAUCUCCAUACUUGUUUUUGUUAGUAGCAGAGGGCCUUUUGUGCCUCUUAAAAUCAAAAAGUGAGUCAUCCAACUUGAGUGGGUACAGGUGGCGCCUACGGCACCACCAGUGAACCAUCUCCUAUUCGCUGAUGACAUCCUGCUGUUCUUCAAGGCAAACGGUGUGGGUGCUACCGAGGUGAACCAGCUACUGGAAAUUUAUAGCCAGGCAACAGGUCAGCGAAUAAAUUAUGCAAAAUCUUCCAUAUUCUUUAGAAAAGGAGUUCCUGACAGUGUUUGAGCUGAUAUAACGGGCCUCUUGAAUGUCCCAAAUGAAACUUUGAGUGAGAAAUAUUUGGGUAUGCCAUCUGACGUUGGAAGCUCAAAAAAUGGUGCAUUCAGAUAUCUAAAAGAUAGGCUGUGGAGCAAAAUUCAGGGUUGGAUAGAGAGGACCAUGUCAACAGCAAGGAAGAAAGUUCUUCUCAAAGCGGUGGCGCAGGCAGUGCCCGUGUUUUCCAUGUCAUGUUUUAAGCUACCCAAGGGCCUUUGUGAGCACCUAAAUAUGCUAAUAAGGAAAUUUUGGUGGGGGAGCACAAAUGGGCAACGCAAGCCCCAUUGGGUAUCGUGGAAGGCAAUGAUACAACCAAAAAGUAUGGGAGGACUAGGUUUCAAAGAUUUCAAGCUCUUUAACUUGGCAAUGUUGGCUAGAAAAGCAUGGUGCUUGCUACAGGAUCCCGGUUCGCUAAGUGCCCGAAUAUUGAAAAGUGUUUACUUCCCACAUACAUCAAUCCUGCAGGCGACUUUAGGGAAUCACCCAAGCCAGAUAUGGAGGGCCAUUAUUGAAGGACGGGAUAGUUUGAAACAAGGGAUGAUUAGGCGUAUUGGUAAUGGUAAUAGCACAAAAAUCUGGGAGGAUAACUGGCUACCUCGUGAGGAGGAUGAGGCUAUAAUGAUGCAUAUCUGCCCACCCCCCGGUUAUGGUUUUAGAACUCAUGUACGCAACAAAUGCCACAUGGAAUAUACCGCCGCUGAACGCCACUUUCAUGCCUUUUGAUGCGAAGGUAGUUUCAGGCAUUCCACUCUAUACUAUGAACAUGCACUAGUAGAAAAAGGGCCUAUAGUCCCGGUUCAUAAGGGCCUUUAGUCCCGGUUCCUGAACCGGGACUAAAGUGUCGGUACUAAUGCCCCGACCCUUUAGUCCCGGUUCAAUCCAGAACCGGGACUGAUGGGCCUCCACGUGGGCAGUGCGCAGAGCCCAGGCAGGAGACCCUUUGGUCUCGGUUGGUGGCACCAACCGGGACCAAUAGGCAUCCACGCAUCAGCAUUUCUGUGGCUGGGGUUUUUGUUUUUUAAGGGGGGGGGGGUUGGGGGUUUUGGGGGGUUAAUUUAGGUGUUUCAUAUAUUGUGUUAGCUAGCUAUAAUUAAUAGAGAGAAGUGUCCUCUCUUAUGUCCGUGCUUGGUCGACGCUACGUACUAUACAUACGUAUAGAGAGGACUAGACACGCUAGCUAGCUAGUAAGCAAACGAAGGAAACAGAAGAUCGUCAUGAACAUAUAUGCAUACAGAGAGAAGUGAUAUCGACCACCUCUCCUUCUCCGAGAGAUUGGUCGAACAACAAGUUCUCGUAUAUCUAUCUGACACUACCGGCUACAUAUAUACAAUAAUUAUCUCUUACAAAUAUAAUCAUACGGACUCAGGGUCCACAUAAAAUUCUCCGUCUUCAGGGAUCGCGUGGUCAAGAAAGAAUGCCGCCAAUUCCUCUUGAAUUGCUCGCAUGCGAGCUGGUGCUAGGAGUUCAUCCCGCUUCCGAAACAUCUAAUUUAAAGAAGAGGGUCAAUACAUAUAUAUAUAUGAAUGAAUGAAACUCAACACAAAUGAUGGUAAUAAAAUAAAAUUAUGAAUGUUGUUAUUUACGUACUUCAUAUUGUUCGUCAGUGUAGCCCCGCUCACAGGUCGUGUGGCGGAUGGACUCGCAAAUGUAGUAUCCACAGAAAUCAUUCCCUUGUUCCUGCCACAACCACUUUACAAGAAAUAGAGGUUAAACUGAUAAGCAAGAAUGCCAAAUGGUAUUGAUGAAACUAGCGCUUGAAUGACUAGUAGAUGCGCUUAAAAUGCUGCUAUAGUACUUACUUUCGGGUGUCUAAAUUGCAGCUCCUUCGGCAGUCCCGGAGCUUUUCUGGUGAAUUUUCUCCAAACCCUGCCGGACAAAGAAAACAAUUACUUGAUAUAUCAGGAAAUAAACAAAGUUGCUGAUAUGGUGGAUAAUGAUCGAUUUAACUUACUUCUCGAGUAUUUGAGUCAUGUCUGCAUAGUCCUGGGGAUCUUUUCGUUUUGAGUCUAAGACGGUUACUAGUCCCUGCUCAAGCUUAAUCUCUAGGAGAAUAUAGUGGAAACUGCACACGCAUGCAUAACUCAUCAAUUACAUUACUAUAACCUUGACUAAUAUAUAAGGGAAACCGAAUACGCACAAGACAGUAACACUCACUUGAAGUUGUAAGGAAAGAGUAUUAUAUCUUUGUUUUCAUUUAUUACGAACGAUCGUAGCAAGUUGGCCUCGGUAGCUGCGGCAUGAAAUUUAACUUGAGUUGCAUCUAUGAGAUAUGUGUUAAUGAACCCAAUAUCACCGACUUGUCUUUUCUUCAAUUCGGCGAUCUUCAAUCUGCAUAAUAUAGUGAGGAUGAUUAUAAAUACAUGCAAUGAAAGAGCUAAGCUAUAUAGAGAAACUUAAUGAUAGAAGUAGUACUACUUACAGACAGUAGCAGGCGACCGUUGUUUUAUCGAGGGCCAAUUGAUUGAAAAACUGAUAGAACUCCUCAAAUGGAACAGGCAACAGUUCAAUUCCAACGAGGUCAUGCUCCUUUUUAACUUUCACAUACAAAGUACUCCUCCCCCCAGAGUCUCUGCAGAUUUUCAAGUACCAAUCAUGCAAUCUUCGCAUCAUCAUUGAUAGAGAUCUUUCAUCUUUGACGAGAGGCUUCCCGUACUCGUAUCUUUGUAUCUGCACGUCCAUGGGUUCAUAAUGUACAUCAUCGGGCAGGUAAUCUGCAAGAUUGCUAUUACCGGGCACCAUCCUCGGAUCAUUAGUGACGUUGUGGCUAGGCACCUUGAGCGGGGGGCACGAUUGCUUCGCUUGUUCGCCGAGCUGGGCAAUUUGUUUCCCAGCUCGUCGUUCUUUCAGCCUUUGAUCAUUGACAGUACUUCCCGACCGCUCCGCUUCGACAAAUUCCUUUCCAAUAAUGCGCUCAUAGUUUCCUUUGGGCGGAGACUUCGGUGGUUUUGUCAGGGCAGCCAGAGUGCGCUUCACUUUCACCGGAUCUACCUUCUCCUCCGGAGGUGGAUGUCUCUUUGCUCUCAACCCUUGAAACCAGUCAUCCACUUCGGUUCGCAUGAUCUCGGCGUUCUCCUCCGGGGUCCUCUCAUAUGGUAACUUCUCUGAAGUCUUCAGAGAAGGACCGAAUCUGUAUGUCCUCCUGCCUCUGGUUGUACUGCUAGACGCCGACCGAGCAGACGGAGCGAUUUUCUUCUUUACUUUCUUACGAGGCGGAGGAGAAGGACUACGACACGCCGGAGCAGCUGGAGCGGCGGCAGGUCUCUUCCGCCCUUGCUGACGAGGCGGAGAAGGAGGAGGCUGGCUGCUCGGGCGCGUCGGCGCAGGCGGAGAAGGAGGCGGAGUUCCGCCACGCGCCGGAGAAGGAGCCGGCCGAGGGCCCUGAUCGUCACUCGCCGGAGGAGGAGGCGGUGGAGGAGGCGGAGUGCCCUGACUUGCCGGAGGAGGAGGAGGAGGCGGAGGCGUCCAGUUCGGAAGGUUGAUGAGCUCCUUCCGCCAUAGGCAUGGAGUCUUCAGAGCAGACCCCAACCGAGUCUCCCCUUCACCGGUAGGGUGGUCAAGCUGGAGGUCCUCAAAUCCCUCCGUUAUUUCAUCCACCAUCACCCUAGCAUAUCCUUAUGGAAUCGGCCGGCAAUGAAAAGUUGCGCCGGGUUCAGUAGGAUAAACAGAGCCAACAGCCGCCUUGACCUUCAAAUUCAUCCAUUGCGUCAUAAGGUGGCAAUUUUGAGACUCCGUUAUAGCAUCCACGGGAUAGCUGGCAGGAGCCAUCAAGGCAUGCUCCGGCUGAAGCAGCUCGGUGGAAGCCACGCUGCUUCUGCGCUGAGAUGGCGGGGUAGCUUCGGGGGAGGCUUUGGCAGUACGUUUGCUGCGAUUUGUUUCUCGUUCCUCUAUCGCGUCUACCCUUGCUUGCAGCGCCUACAUUUGGGUCUGCUGCACUUUUUUCCUCCUCUCAUGGGAUUUGUAACCGUCUGCGUUCGGAAACCCAACCUUCCAUGGAAUGGAGCCUGGCAUGCCUCGUCUCCGUCCAGGGUGCUCAGGAUUUCCGAGGGCCAUUGUGAGCUCGUCGUUCUCUCUGUCUGGAAAGAACUUCCCUUGCUGCGCUGCUUUGAUAUACUGCUUAAGCUUCCUGACUGGUAUGUCCAUUUGAUCGUUCAUCCAAAUGCACUUCCCUGUUACAGGGUCCAAGAUUCCGCCAGCCCCGAAGAACCAAGUCCGGCAACGGUCUGGCCAGCUAAUUGUCUCUGGUUCGAUCCCUUUAUGAACCAGAUCAUUCUCAGUCUUGGCCCACUUAGGCCGGGCUACGAGGUAGCCACCUGACCCCGUGCGAUGGUGAAGCAUCUUCUUUGCAGCAUUUUGCUUGUUUGUCACCGACAUCUUCUUACUCUUUUCCGAUGUCUUGUGGGCCACAAAUGCGGGCCAGUGAUCUCUGAUCUUCUCAUAUCUGCCCUUGAAUUCUGGUGUCUCAUUAUUUUCGACAAACUUAUUCAGCUCUUUCUUCCACCUCCGGAAUAGUUCUGCCAUCCUCUUAAGAGCAAAAGACUUGAUUAAUUUCUCUUUAAUUGGGUUCUCUGGAUUAUCCUCUGGCGGUAGGGUGAAAUUUGACUUCAGCUCAGUCCAAAGAUCAUUUUUCUGCAUAUCAUUGACAUAAGACACCUCAGGGUCUUCUGUAGCCGGCUUAAACCAUUGCUGGAUGCUUAUCGGGAUCUUGUCCCUAACCAGAACCCCGCACUGAGCAACAAAUGCGCUCUUUGUCCGGAGGGGUUCAAUUGGUUGGCCGUCGGGCGCGAUUGCGAUGAUCUCAAACUUUUCAUCCGAGCUCAACUUUUUCUUCGGGCCUCGUCUCUUUACCGAAGUUGAGUUGUGCUCGAUCCGGAGGGCUAGAAAAAAGAACAAAGACUUAAUUAAUAUGUGUACAUACCAAAACAAUGAAUGCAUCAAUCAGCUAGUCAGCACAGGCUUAACUAAUAUAUAUACCUGGCCGGACUCGCUUCGGUCACCGGAGCCGUCAUCACGGUCUCCUUCUUGCACCGGCAUUGGGUCACCGAAGCCGUCUGAAGGAAAUAUGCCCUAGAGGCAAUAAUAAAGUUAUUAUUUAUUUCCUUAUAUCAUGAUAAAAAGUUUAUUAUUCAUGCUAGAAUUGUAUUAACCGGAAACAUAAUACAUGUGUGAAUACAUAGACAAACAGAGUGUCACUAGUAUGCCUCUACUUGACUAGCUCGUUAAUCAAAGAUGGUUAUGUUUCCUAACCAUGGACAAAGAGUUGUCAUUUGAUUAACGGGAUCACAUCAUUAGUUGAAUGAUCUGAUUGACAUGACCCAUUCCAUUAGCUUAGCACCCGAUCGUUUAGUAUGUUGCUAUUGCUUUCUUCAUGAUUUAUACAUGUUCCUAUGACUAUGAGAUUAUGUAACUCCCGUGUGCCGGAGGAACACUUUGUGUGCUACCAAACGUCACAACGUAACUGGGUGAUUAUAAAGGUGCUCUACAAGUGUCUCCAAAGGUACAUGUUGGGUUGACGUAUUUCGAGAUUAGGAUUUGUCACUCCGAUCGUCGGAGAGGUAUCUCUGGGCCCUCUCGGUAAUGCACAUCACUUAAGCCUUGCAAGCAUUGCAACUAAUGAGUUAGUUGCGGGGUGAUGUAUUACGGAACGAGUAAAGAGACUUGCCGGUAACGAGAUUGAACUAGGUAUUGGAUACCGACGAUCGAAUCUCGGGCAAGUAACAUGCCGAUGACAAAGGGAACAACGUAUGUUGUUAUGCGGUCUGACCGAUAAAGAUCUUCGUAGAAUAUGUAGGAGCCAAUAUGGGCAUCCAGGUCCCGCUAUUGGUUAUUGACCGGAGACGUGUCUCGAUCAUGUCUACAUUGUUCUCGAACCCGUAGGGUCCGCACGCUUAAGGUUUAGAUGACAGUUAUAUUAUGAGUUUAUACGUUUUGAUGUACCGAAGGUUGUUUGGAGUCCCGGAUGUGAUCACGGACAUGACGAGGAGUCUCGAAAUGGUCGAGACAUAAAGAUUGAUAUAUUGGAAGCCUAUGUUUGGAUAUCGGAAGUGUUCCGGGUGAAAUCGGGAUUUUACCGGAGUACCGGGAGGUUACCGGAAACCCCCCGGGAGAUAUAUGGGCCUUAGUGGGCCUUAGUGGAAAAGAGAAGAGGCAACCAGAGAUGGGCCGCGCGCCCCUCCCCUCCCUUGGUCCGAGUAGGACAAGGAGAGGGGGCCGGCCCCCCUUCCUCUUUUCCCCCCUCCGCGAAUCCUAUUCCAACUAGGAAAGGGGGGAAUCCUACUCCCGGAGGGAGUAGGACUCUUCCUGGCGCGCCACAUCUAGGCCGGCCGCACCCUCCCUUUUGAACCUUUAUAUACGGAGACAGGGGCACCCCUAGAGACACAAGUUGAUCCACAUGAUCAUAUUCUUAGCCGUGUGCGGCACCCCCUUCCCCCAUAGUCCUCGAUAAUAUUGUAGCGGUGCUUAGGCGAAGCCCUGCGACAGUAGUACAUUAAGAUCGUCACCACGCCGUCGUGCUGACGGAACUCUUCCCCGACACUUUGCUGGAUCGGAGUCCGGGGAUCGUCAUCGAGCUGAACGUGUGCUAGAACUCGGAGGUGCCGUAGUUUUGGUGCUUGAUCGGUCGGGCCGUGGAGACGUACGACUACAUCAACCAAACGCUUCCGUUGUCGAUCUACAAGGGUACGUAGAUCACACUCUCCCCUCUCGUUGCUAUGCAUCACCAUGAUCUUGCGUGUGCGUAGGAAUUUUUUUGAAAUUACUACGUUCCCCAACAGUGGCAUCAGAGCCUAGGUUUUAUGUGUUGAUGUUAUAUGCACGAGUAGAACACAAGUGAGUUGUGGGCGAUAUAAGUCAUACUGCUUACCAGCAUGUCAUACUUUGGUUCGGCGGUAUUGUUGGAUGAAGCGGCCCGGACCGACAUUACGCGUACGCUUACGCGAGACCGGUUCUCCCGACGUGCUUUGCACAUAGGUGGCUUGCGGGUGACAGUUUCUCCAACUUUAGUUGAACAGAGUGUGGCUACGCCCGGUCCUUGCGAAGGUUAAAACAGCACCAACUUGACAAACUAUCGUUGUGGUUUUGAUGCGUAGGUAAGAUUGGUUCUUGCUUAAGCCCGUAGCAGCCACGUAAAACUUGCAACAACAAAGUAGAGGACGUCUAACUUGUUUUUGCAGGGCAUGUUGUGAUGUGAUAUGGUCAAGACAUGAUGCUAAAUUUUAUUGUAUGAGAUGAUCAUGUUUUGUAACCGAGUUAUCGGCAACUGGCAGGAGCCAUAUGGUUGUCGCUUUAUUGUAUGCAAUGCAAUCGCGCUGUAAUGCUUUACUUUAUCACUAAGCGGUAGCGAUAGUCGUGGAAGCAUAAGAUUGGCGAGACGAUAACGAUGCUAUGAUGGAGAUCAAGGUGUCGCGCCGGUGACGAUGGUGAUCAUGACGGUGCUUCGGAGAUGGAGAUCACAGGCACAAGAUGAUGAUGGCCAUAUCAUAUCACUUAUAUUGAUUGCAUGUGAUGUUUAUCUUUUAUGCAUCUUAUCUUGCUUGGAUUGACGGUAGCAUUAUAAGAUGAUCUCUCACUAAAUUAUCAAGAUAAAAGUGUUCUCCCUGAGUAUGCACCGUUGCCAAAGUUCGUCGUGCCCAGACACCACGUGAUGAUCGGGUGUGAUAAGCUCUACGUCCAUCUACAACGGGUGCAAGCCAAUUUUGCACACGCAAAAUACUCAGGUUAAACUUGACGAGCCUAGCAUAUGCAGAUAUGGCCUCGGAACACUGAGAUCGAAAGAUCGAGCGUGAAUCAUAUAGUAGAUAUGAUCAACAUAGCGAUGUUCACCAUUGAAAACUACUCCAUUUCACGUGAUGAUCGGUUAUGGUUUAGUUGAUUUGGAUCACGUGAUCACAUAGAGGAUUAGAGGUAUGUCUAUCUAAGUGGGAGUUCUUUAAGUAAUUUGAUUAAUUGAACUUAAAUUUAUCAUGAACUUAGUACCUGAUAGUAUCUUGCUUAUGUAUGUUUGAUUGUAGAUAGAUGGCCCGUGUUGUUGUUCCAUUGAAUUUUAAUGCGUUCCUUGAGAAAGCAAAGUUGAAAGAUGAUGGUAGCAAUUACAGGGACUGGGUCCGUAAUUUGAGGAUUAUCCUCAUUGCUGCACAGAAGAAUUACGUCCUGGAAGCACCGCUGGGUGCCAGGCCUGCUGCUGGAGCAACACCAGAUGUUAUGAAACGUCUGGCAGAGCAAAGCUGAUGACUACUCGAUAGUUCAGUGUGCCAUGCUUUACGGCUUAGAAUCGGGACUUCAACGAUGUUUUGAACGUCAUGGAGCAUAUGAGAUGUUCCAGGAGUUGAAGUUAAUAUUUCAAGCAAAUGCCCGGAUUGAGAGAUAUGAAGUCUCCAAUAAGUUAUAUAGCUGCAAGAUGGAGGAGAACAGUUCUGUCAGUGAGCAUAUACUCAAAAUGUCUGAGUAUAAUAAUCACUUGAUUCAGAUGGGAGUUAAUCUUCCAGAUGAUUGCGUCAUUGACAGAAUUCUCCAGUCACUGCCACCAAGCUACAAGAGCUUCGUGAUGAACUAUAAUAUGCAAGGGAUGAAUAAGACUAUUCCCGAGCUCUUCGCAAUGCUGAAAGCUGUGGAGGUAGAAAUCAAAAAGGAGCAUCAAGUGUUGAUGGUCAACAAGACCACUAGUUUCAAGAAAAAGGGCAAAGGGAAGAAGAAGAAGGGGAACUUCAAGAAGAACAACAAGCAAGUUGCUGCUCAAGAGAAGAAACCCAAGUCUGGACCAAAGCCUAAAACUGAGUGCUUCUACUGCAAGCAGACUGGUCACUGGAAGCGGAACUGCCCAAAGUAUUUGGCGAAUAAGAAGGAUGGCAAGGUGAACAAAGGUAUAUGUGAUAUACAUGUUAUUGAUAUGUACCUUACUAGAGCUCGCAGUAGCACCUGGGUAUUUGAUACUGGUUCUGUUACUAAUAUUUGCAACUCAAAACAGGGACUACGGAUUAAGCGAACACUAGCAAAGGACGAGGUGACGAUGCACAUAAGAAAUGGUUCCAAAGUCGAUGUGAUCGCGGUCGGCACGCUACCUCUACAUCUACCUUCGGGAUUAGUAUUAGACCUAAAUAAUUGUUAUUUUGUGCCAACGUUGAGCAUGAACAUUAUAUCUGGAUCUUGUUUAAUGCGAGACGGUUAUUCAUUUAAAUCAGAGAAUAAUGGUUGUUCUAUUUAUAUGAGUAAUAUCUUUUAUGGUCAUGCACCUUUGAAGAGUGGUCUAUUUUUGAUGAAUCUCGAUAGUAGUAACACACAUAUUCAUAAUGUUGAAGCCAAAAGAUGCAGAGUUGAUAAUGAUAGUGCAACUUAUUUGUGGCACUGCCGUUUAGGUCAUAUCGGUAUAAAGCGCAUAAAGAAACUCCAUAUUGAUGGGCUUUUGGAACCACUUGAUUAUGAAUCACUUGGUACUUGUGAACCGUGCCUCAUGGGCAAGAUGACUAAAACACCGUUCUCCGGUACUAUAGAGAGAGCAACAGAUUUGUUGGAAAUCAUACAUACAGAUGUAUGUGGUCCGAUGAAUAUUGAGGCUCGUGGCGGAUAUCGUUAUUUUCUCACCUUCACAGAUGACUUAAGCAGAUAUGGGUAUAUCUACUUAAUGAAACAUAAGUCUGAAACAUUUGAAAAGUUCAAAGAAUUUUAGAGUGAAGUUGAAAAUCAUCGUAACAAGAAAAUAAAGUUUCUACGAUCUGAUCGUGGAGGAGAAUAUUUGAGUUACGAGUUUGGUGUACAUUUGAAGCAAUGCGGAAUAGUUUUGCAACUCACGCCACCCGGAACACCACAGCGUAAUGGUGUGUCCGAACGUCGUAAUCAUACUUUACUAGAUAUGGUGCGAUCUAUGAUGUCUCUUACUGAUUUACCGCUAUCGUUUUGGGGUUAUGCUUUAGAGACGACCGCAUUCACGUUAAAUAGGGCACCAUCAAAAUCCGUUGAGACGACGCCUUAUGAACUAUGGUUUGGCAAGAAACCAAAGUUGUCGUUUCUUAAAGUUUGGGGCUGCGAUGCUUAUGUGAAAAAGCUUCAACCUGAUAAGCUCGAACCCAAAUCGGAGAAAUGUGUCUUCAUAGGAUACCCAAAGGAGACUGUUGGGUACACCUUCUAUCACAGAUCCGAAGGCAAGACAUUCGUUCCUAAGAAUGGAUCCUUUCUAGAGAAGGAGUUUCUCUCGAAAGAAGUGAGUGGGAGGAAAUUAGAACUUGACGAGGUAACUGUACCUGCUCCCUUAUUGGAAAGUAGUACAUCACAGAAACCUGUUUCUGCGACAACUACACCAAUUAGUGAGGAAGCUAAUGAUAAUGAUCAUGAAACUUCAGGACAAGAUACUACUGAACCUCGUAGAUCAACUAGAGUAAGAUCCGCGCCAGAGUGGUACGGUAAUCCUGUUCUGGAAAUCAUGCUACUAGAUCAUGAUGAACCUACGAACUAUGAAGAAGCGAUGGUGAGCCCAGAUUCUGCAAAAUGGCUUGAAGCCAUGAAAUCUGAGAUGGGAUCCAUGUAUGAGAACAAAGUAUGGACUUUGGUUGACUUGCCCAAUGAUCGGCAAGCAAUUGAGAAUAAAUGGAUCUUCAAGAAGAAGACUGACGCUGACGGUAAUAUUACUGUCUACAAAGUUCGACUUGUCGCAAAAGGUUUUCGACAAGUUCAAGGGGUUGACUACGAUGAGACCUUCUCACCCGUAGCGAUGCUUUGUUCUGUCCGAAUCAUGUUAGCAAUUGCCGCAUUUUAUGAUUAUGAAAUUUGGCAGAUGGAUGUCAAAACUGCAUUCCUGAAUGGAUUUCUGGAAGAAGAGUUGUAUAUGAUGCAACCGGAAGGUUUUGUCGAUCCAAAGGGAGCUAACAAAGUGUGCAAGCUCCAGCGAUCCAUGUAUGGACUGGUGCAAGCCUCUCGGAGUUGGAAUAAACGCUUUGAUAGUGUGAUCAACACAUUUGGUUUUAUACAGACUUUCGGAGAAGCCUGUAUUUACAAGAAAGUGAGUGGGAGCUCUGUAGCAUUUCUGAUAUUAUAUGUGGAUGACAUAUUACUGAUUGGAAAUGAUAUAGAAUUUCUAGAUAGCAUAAAGGGAUACUUCAAUGAAAGACCUCGGUGAAGCUGCUUAUAUAUUAGGCAUAAAGAUCUAUAGAGAUAGAUCAAGACGCUUAAUUGGACUUUCACAAAGCACAUACCUUGACAAGAUUUUGAAGAAGUUCAAAAUGGAUCAAGCAAAGAAAGGGUUCUUGCCUGUGUUACAAGGUGUGAAGUUGAUUCAGACUCAAUGCCCGACCACUGCAGAAGAUAGAGAGAAAAUGAAAGAUGUUCCCUGUGCUUCAGCCAUAGGCUCUAUCAUGUAUGCAAUGCUGUGUACCAGACCUGAUGUGUGCCUUGCUAUAAGUCUAGCAGGGAGGUACCAAAGUAAUUCAGGAGUGGAACACUGGACAGCGGUCAAGAACAUCCUGAAAUACCUGAAAAGGACUAAGGAUAUGUUUCUCGUAUAUGGAGGUGACAAAGAGCUCAUCGUAAACGGUUACGUUGAUGCAAGCUUUGACACUGAUCCAAACGAUUCUAAAUCGCCAACCGGAUACGUGUUUACAUUAAACGGUGGAGCUGUCAGUUGGUGCAGUUCUAAAUAAAGCAUCGUGGCGGGAUCUACAUGUGAAGCAGAGUACAUAGCUGCUUCGGAAGCAGCAAACGAAGGAGUCUGGAUGAAGGAGUUCAUAUCCGAUCUAGGUGUCAUACCUAGGGCAUCGGGUCCAAUGAAAAUCUUUUGUGACAAUACUGGUGCAAUUGCCUUGGCAGAGGAAUCCGGAUUUCACAAGAGAACCAAACACAUCAAGAGACGCUUCAAUUCCAUCCGGGAUCUAGUCCAGGUGGGAGACAUAGAGAUUUUCAAGAUACAUACGGAGCUGAAUGUAGCAGACCCGUUGACUAAGCCUCUUCCACGAGCAAAACAUGAUCAGCACCAAAGCUCCAUGGGUGUUAGAAUCAUUACUGUGUAAUCUAGAUUAUUGACUCUAGUGCAAGUGGGAGACUGAAGGAAAUAUGCCCUAGAGGCAAUAAUAAAGUUAUUAUUUAUUUCCUUAUAUCAUGAUAAAAAGUUUAUUAUUCAUGCUAGAAUUGUAUUAACCGGAAACAUAAUACAUGUGUGAAUACAUAGACAAACAGAGUGUCACUAGUAUGCCUCUACUUGACUAGCUCAUUAAUCAAAGAUGGUUAUGUUUCCUAACCAUGGACAAAGAGUUGUCAUUUGAUUAACGGGAUCACAUCAUUAGUUGAAUGAUCUGAUUGACAUGACCCAUUCCAUUAGCUUAGCACCCGAUCGUUUAGUAUGUUGCUAUUGCUUUCUUCAUGACUUAUACAUGUUCCUAUGACUAUGAGAUUAUGUAACUCCCGUGUGCCGGAGGAACACUUUGUGUGCUACCAAACGUCACAACGUAACUGGGUGAUUAUAAAGGUGCUCUACAGGUGUCUCCAAAGGUACAUGUUGGGUUGACGUAUUUCGAGAUUAGGAUUUGUCACUCCGAUCGUCGGAGAGGUAUCUCUGGGCCCUCUCGGUAAUGCACAUCACUUAAGCCUUGCAAGCAUUGCAACUAAUGAGUUAGUUGUGGUAUGAUGUAUUACGGAACGAGUAAAGAGACUUGCCGGUAACGAGAUUGAACUAGGUAUUGGAUACCGAUGAUCGAAUCUCGGGCAAGUAACAUGCCGAUGACAAAGGGAACAACGUAUGUUGUUAUGCGGUCUGACCGAUAAAGAUCUUCAUAGAAUAUGUAGGAGCCAAUAUGGGCAUCCAGGUCCCGCUAUUGGUUAUUGACCGGAGACGUGUCUCGGUCAUGUCUACAUUGUUCUCGAACCCGUAGGGUCCGCACGCUUAAGGUUUCGAUGACAGUUAUAUUAUGAGUUUAUACGUUUUGAUGUACCGAAGGUUGUUCGGAGUCCCGGAUGUGAUCACGGACAUGACGAGGAGUCUCAAAAUGGUCGAGACAUAAAGAUUGAUAUAUUGGAAGCCUAUGUUUGGAUAUCGGAAGUGUUCCGGGUGAAAUCGGGAUUUUACCGGAGUACUGGGAGGUUACCGGAAACCCCCCGAGAGAUAUAUGGGCCUUAGUGGGCCUUAGUGGAAAAGAGAAGAGGCAACCAGAGAUGGGCCGCGCGCCCCUCCCCUCCCUUGGUCCGAAUAGGACAAGGAGAGGGGGCCGGCCCCCCUUCCUCUUUUCCCCCCUCUACGAAUCCUAUUCCAACUAGGAAAGGGGGGGAAUCCUACUCCCGGAGGGAGAAGGACUCCUCCUGGCAUGCCACAUCUAGGCCGGCCGCACCCCCCCUUUGAACCUUUAUAUACGGAGGCAGGGGCACCCCUAGAGACACAAGUUGAUCCACGUGAUCAUAUUCUUAGCCGUGUGCGGCACCCCCUUCCCCCAUAGUCCUCGAUAAUAUUGUAGCGGUGCUUAGGCGAAGCCCUGCGACAGUAGUACAUCAAGAUCGUCACCACGCCGUCGUGCUGACAGAACUCUUCCCUGACACUUUGCUGGAUCAGAUUCCGGGGAUCGUCAUCGAGCUGAACGUGUGCUAGAACUCGGAGGUGCCAUAGUUUCGGUGCUUGAUCGGUCAGGCCGUGGAGACGUACGACUACAUCAACCAAACGCUUCCGUUGUCGAUCUACAAGGGUACGUAGAUCACACUCUGCCCUCUCGUUGCUAUGCAUCACCAUGAUCUUUCCUGCGUGUAGGAAUUUUUUUUAAAUUACUACGUUCCCCAACACCGUCCUCAUGUUCUUCUUCUUACACCGGCAUUAGGUCACCGUAGCCAGCUUGUUCACCCUCUCCUUCCAGACCAUCGGUGUCGUUGAGAAACAACGAGACGGCAUCACUUCCUUCUGCGAUUAUGUCCCUCAACAACGCUUCUUUUGCUUCGCCUAGGGCGGUGUCCAUAGUUUCUACAAAUAUUUACAACAUGGCAAUUAUUAUUCAAACAUGACAGAUGGAUAUAUUAGUGCCAAACGUAGAACUAUCUACCUAAUCAUAGUAAGCUAUCGGGAGGGGGUAUAUAUCGACAACGACGACACUACAUCUAUGUCCCUCGACGACCCUCGUUCCCGAUAAAAAAAGAGGAAGAAGAAGAAAAAAAGUGGAGAAGAAAGAAUAGAGGAGAAGAACUCCUCUAUUCUUUCUUCUCCUCUUUUUUUUCUUCUUCCUCUUCUUUUUUUAUCCUCUUCUUCCUCUCAUGUUCGAGAGCAUCGCCGAGGGGUCGGGAGGUUGCGUAGUGUCAAAGGAUUCAACAAAACCAUGUCUUCAUCAUUAGGCAGAAGUAACAUGUGCAUGAUGGUACGAAGCUCUUCAAAGUUGUUCUGGAACGGAGUCCCGGAUAGGAUAAUUCGCUUUUUGGUACAAAGUUCAGCAAGAGCCUUCCGAAUAUCACUAUUUGGAAGGCCUUUGCUGAAUUCGUACCAAAAGGCGGAUUAUCCUAUCCGGGACUCCAUUCCAGAACAACUUUGCAGAACUUCGUACCAACAUGCCCUGGUUACGUCCGGCUAAUGAUGAAGGCAAGGAUUUCUUCAAUACUUUGACACUAGGAAACCUCUCUCGACCCCUCGGCGAUCCUCGACCCCUCGAACCCUCUAAGACCCUGGAACCCUCGACCCCUCGGCAAUCCUCUUCUUCCUCUCAUGUUCGAGAGCAUCGCCGAGGGGUCGGGAGGUUGCGUAGUGUCAAAGGAUUCAACAAAACCAUGUCUUCAUCAUUAGGCGAAAGUAACAUGUGCAUGAUGGUACGAAGCUCUUCAAAGUUGUUCUGGAACGGAGUCCCGGAUAGGAUAAUUCGCUUUUUGGUACAAAGUUCAGCAAGAGCCUUCCGAAUAUCGCUAUUUGGAAGGCCAUUGCUGAAUUCGUACCAAAAGGCGGAUUAUCCUAUCCGGGACUCCAUUCCAGAACAACUUUGCAGAACUUUGUACCAACAUGCCCUGGUUACUUCCGGCUAAUGAUGAAGGCAUGGAUUUCUUCAAUACUUUGACACUAGGAAACCUCUCUCGACCCCUCGGCGAUCCUCGACCCCUCGAACCCUCGACGACCCUGGAACCCUCGACCCCUCGGCGAUCCUCUUCUUCCUCUCAUGCUCGAGAGGAUCACCGAGGGGUCGGGAGGUUGCGUAGUGUCAAAGGAUUCAACAAAACCAUGUCUUCAUCAUUAGGCGAAAGUAACAUGUGCAUGAUGGUACGAAGCUCUUCAAAGUUGUUCUGGAACGGAGUCCCAGAUAGGAUAAUUCGCUUUUUGGUACAAAGUUCAGCAAGAGCCUUCCGAAUAUCUCUAUUUGGAAGGCCUUUGAUGAAUUCGUACCAAAAGGCGGAUUAUCCUAUCUGGGACUCCAUUCCAGAACAACUUUGCAGAACUUCGUACCAACAUGCCCUGGUUACUUCCGGCUAAUGAUGAAGGCAUGGAUUUCUUCAAUACUUGGACACUAGGAAACCUCUCUCGACCCCUCGGCGAUCCUCGACCCCUCGAACCCUCGAUGACCCUGGAACCCUCGACCCCUAGACGACCCUGGAACCCUCGACCCUAUAGAACCCUCGAACCCUCGACCCUGAAACCCUCGACCCUUGACCCCUCAAACCCUCGACCCUGAAAUCCUAGAGGAGAAGAUUGAAGAAAAAAAAAGAAGAAAAAGAAGAGGAGAAGAAGAAAGGAAUAGUGGAGAAGAAGAGAAAAUAGAAUAAUAUAUUCUAUUUUCUCUUCUUCUCCACUAUUCCUUUCUUCUUCUCCUCUUCUUUUUCUUCUUUUUUCUUCUUCUUAUUUAUUUCUCUCUUCUUCCUCUCCUCUUCUUCUUCUUAUUUAGUUCUCUCGACCCCUCGACGACCCUCGUCCCUGAUAACAUUUUUUUUCUCCCCUCGACACCUCUCGACCUCUCAUCCCACUCUCGACCCCUCAUCAUCAUCUAUCACCCCCCUCGUUUUCUUUAGCAUAUAUCCAUGAAGAAGAAAGAAGUCUUCCUCUUCUUAUUUUCCUUUUUCCACUCCUUCCUUUUCUUCUUCUUCUUCUUCUUCCUUCUUCCUUCUUCCUCUUUUCUUCCUUUUCCUUAUUUUACUUUUUCCUCUACACUAACCUAAAAUCGAUAUCUACUAAUUAACAACCUAAAUAAAAAAAUGAAUACAUAUAUGAAAAAAAACAUCAUAUGAAAAAAACAUCUAGAAUUUCAUCAAACACAUUCUAUAUGGACAAAAAAAUUCAGAAGCUCCUCUAUUCCUUCUUCUUCUCCUCUUUUUUUCUUCUUCUUCCUCUUCUUCCUCUCCUCGUCUUCUCCUUCUUCUUCUCCUUCUUUCUAUACUUAUUUUCCUUUUCCUUAUUUUACUUUUUCCUCUCCACUAACAUAAAAUGCACUAACCUAAAAUGCAACAAACAUAAAAUGCACUAAAUCGAUCAACUAACCUAAAAUCAGUGAUAAAAUGCACUAACCUAAAAUCGAUAUCUACUAACAACUUAAAAAAUUAAUACAUAUAUGAAAAAAUGCAUAUAUGAAAAAAAACAUCAUCAUAUCAUCAACAGAAAAAAUAGUAUUUUUUCUAAAAAUCUAUCUUUUGCAUAUAUACAUCAACAUAUAUAUACACUAACCUAAAAUGCACAAAAAUGCUAUCGGAGAGGGGGUAUAUCGACCCCCCUCAUGUAUCCACAUACAUACAUCUAUACAUACAUACAUUUCUCAUAUAUACAUACAUACAUUUCUCAUAUAUAAUUUUUUCUUCUUCUUCCUUUCUUCCUUCUUCCUAGCUAGAUAUAUAAAUUUUUGCAUAUAUAAAAUACAUAUAUACUUGCAUAUAUGUAUAAAUUUUUGCAUAUAUAAUUUUUUGCAUAUAUAAAGUUUUCUAUAAUCUAACUUUUGCAUAUAUGAACAUAUAUACACAGAGAACAUAUACAUAUAUGCACAUUUUUAUAAUAAUGAAAAAAAUAAUAGGAAAGGGCACCGGCGGCUGGACUGAAGGUGGCGGCGUGUGGUCGGGGCGACGGCGACGGGGUUGGGGAAGGGGCNNNNNNNNNNNNNNNNNNNNNNNNNNNNNNNNNNNNNNNNNNNNNNNNNNNNNNNNNNNNNNNNNNNNNNNNNNNNNNNNNNNNNNNNNNNNNNNNNNNNNNNNNNNNNNNNNNNNNNNNNNNNNNNNNNNNNNNNNNNNNNNNNNNNNNNNNNNNNNNNNNNNNNAACCGGGACUAAAGGGGGGCAUUAGUCCCGGUUGGUGCUACGACCCGAGACUAAUGCCCCCCUUUAGUUCCGGUUGGUGCCACCAACCGAGACCAAAGACCUGUGCUGCCCCGAACCCAAAUAUUUAGUCCCACCUCGCUAGUUGAGAGGGAGGCGCACCUGUUUAUAAGGUGCGGUGUGCCUUCCCUCUCGAGCUCCUCUCUAAAGCAGGCUUUCGGGCCUAACACUGCAAUCUGUGCCUGUGGGCCUACUGGGCCUCCCGCGGGCCUGAAUCCUGGCCCAUGGUAGGGUUUCUAGUCGUAUUCAGGCCGUGGGGGCGCAGUAGGUGGCACUUUUUUUUGUUUUUUUUGUUUCUACUUAGAACUAAAUACUUAUAGUUUUGUAGUGAUUUCUUUUUUAUUUUAGGUCACAAAAAUUAUAAACUUUCUGUUAGUGCCAUUAGUUUUAAAAUUUGAAUAGUUUAAAUUUGAUUUUUUUUAAAUUUGUGUGAAUCACUAGUUUAUGAAUAACUUUACUAUAAAAAUUGAUUUUUGAGUCAAUCUUUUUCCUGCUAUUUAAUAUUACUGUGUUUUAUCACUAUACUCAAUUUGGUAAUUUUAGUUAGUCAUAACAAAUAUUAUAGGGGUGAGCCCUAUUUUUUUCCAGUUUUUUUGUUUUGUUUUCUGCAUUAUUUAUUUCCUUUUGUUUUUUGCUUUAUUUUUUAAUUCUUUUUGCUUUNNNNNNNNNNNNNNNNNNNNNNNNNNNNNNNNNNNNNNNNNNNNNNNNNNNNNNNNNNNNNNNNNNNNNNNNNNNNNNNNNNNNNNNNNNNNNNNNNNNNNNNNNNNNNNNNNNNNNNNNNNNNNNNNNNNNNNNNNNNNNNNNNNNNNNNNNNNNNNNNNNNNNNNNNNNNNNNNNNNNNNNNNNNNNNNNNNNNNNNNNNNNNNNNNNNNNNNNNNNNNNNNNNNNNNNNNNNNNNNNNNNNNNNNNNNNNNNNNNNNNNNNNNNNNNNNNNNNNNNNNNNNNNNNNNNNNNNNNNNNNNNNNNNNNNNNNNNNNNNNNNNNNNNNNNNNNNNNNNNNNNNNNNNNNNNNNNNNNNNNNNNNNNNNNNNNNNNNNNNNUAGUUUUCAAAUUUGAAAACACUUUUUUAGUUUUUUUGUUUUCUUUGUUGCUUUAUUUAUUUUAUUUUGUUUCUACUUACAACAAAAUACUUAUUGUUGCUAUUUUUAUUUUUUUCCAGUUUUUUUGUUUUGUUUUCUGUAUUAUUUAUUUUCUUUUGUUUUUUGCUUUAUUUUUUAAUUCUUUUUGCUUUUAGGUCAGCAAAAUUAUAAACUUUCUGUUAGUGCCAUUAGUUUUAGAAAAAAUAUAAACUUUCUGUUAGUGCCAUUAGUUUUCAAAUUUGAAUAGUUAAAAUUUGAACAUAGAUGCACCUAUAGAGAAAAUUCGACCUAAAUUCAUAGUUUUCAAAUGAACUCUGAAAAAGUUGGCAUAGCAUACUCGUUUGUUACAAAUUUGGCAUGGUAUCAUCAUAAUAGUUGCGGGAGAAAGUCUUCACUUUUUCUUCGCUUGUGUCAUUUGCUUAUUGCGCCGUAACCAUGGAUAAUCUUCAUUGUUUAUCAGGAUGCUUGGGUCAGCCUUGACAUUGAAGGGAGGAAUUUCAUGAAACUUUUCAUAAUCUUCAGACAUGUCUGUCUUGCCGUCCACUCCCAGGAUGUCCCUUUUUCCUGAAAGAACUAUGUGGCGCUUUGGCUCAUCGUCUGAUGUAUUCGCUUCCUUAUCUUUUCUUUUUCUCGGUUUGGUAGACAUGUCCUUCACAUAGAUAACCUGUGCCACAUCAUUGGCUAGGACGAACGGUUAGUCAGUGUACCCAAGAUUUUUCAGAUCUACUGUUGUCAUUCCGUACUGUGGGUCUACCUAUACCCCGCCGCCUAACAGAUUGACCCAUUUGCACUUAAACAAAGGGACCUUAAAAUUAGGUCCGUAGUCAAGUUCCCAUAUGUCCACUAUGUAACCAUAAUAUGUAUCCUUUCCGCUCUCGGUUGCUGCAUCAAAGCGGACACCGCUGUUUUGGUUGGUGCUCUUUUGAUCUUGGGCGAUCGUGUAAAAUGUAUUCACAUUUAUCUCGUAUCCUUUAUAAGUCAAUACAGUCAAAGAUGGUCCCUUGGACAACAAGUACAACUCAUCACGAACAGUGUUGUCACCUCUGAGACGUGUUUCCAACCAACUGCUGAAAGUCCUGAUGUGUUCACAUGUAAUCCAGUCGUCGCACUGCUCCGGGUGUUUGGAGCGCAGACUGUUCUUGUGUUCAUCGACAUACGGGGUCACCAAGGUAGAGUUCUGUAGAACUGUGUAGUGUGCUUGAGACCAAGAAUAUACGUCCCUGCAUAUUAUUGAGUCUCUUCCAAGAGUGCCUUUUCCAGUCAGUCUCCCCUCAUACCGCGAUUUAGGGAGACCUAUCUUGUUAAGGCCAGGAAUGAAGUCAACAAAAAACCCGAUAACAUCCUCUGUUUGAUGGCCCAUGGAGAUGCUUCCUUCUGGCCUAGCGCGAUUACGGACAUAUUUCUUUAGGACUCCCAUGAACCUCUCAAAGGGGAACAUAUUGUGUAGAAAUACGGGCCCCAGGAUGAUAAUCUCGUCGACUAGAUGAACUAGGACGUGUGUCAUGAUAUUGAAGAAGGAUGGUGGGAACACCAGCUCGAAAUUGACAAGACAUUGCGCCACAUCACUCCUUAGCCUUGGUACGAUUUUUGGAUCGAUCACCUUCUGAGAGAUUGCAUUGAGGAAUGCACAUAGCUUCACAAUGGCUAAUCGGACGUUUUCCGGUAGAAGCCCCCUCAAUGCAACCGGAAGCAGUUGCGUCAUAAUCACGUGGCCGUCAUGAGACUUUAGGUUCUGAAACUUUUUCUCUGGCAUAUUUAUUAUUCCCUUUAUAUUCGACGAGAAGCCAGUCGUGACCUUCAUACUGAGCAGGCAUUCAAAGAAGAUUUCUUUCUCUUCUUUCGUAAGAGCGUAGCUGGCAGGACCUUUAUACUGCUUCGGAGGCAUGCCGUCUUUUUCGUGCAAAUGUUGCAGGUCCUCCCGUGCCUCAGGUGUAUCUUUUGUCUUCCCAUACACGCCCAAGAAGCCUAGCAGGUUCACGCAAAGGUUCUUCGUCACGUGCAUCACGUCAAUUGAGGAGCGGACCUCUAGGUCUUUCCAGUAGGGUAGGUCCCAAAAUAUAGAUUUCUUCUUCCACAUGGGUGCGUGUCCCUCAGCGUCAUUCGGAACAGCUAGUCCACUGGGACCCUUUCCAAAGAUUACGUAGUGUAAAUCAUUGACCAUAGCAAGCACGUGAUCACCGGUGCGCAUGGCGGGCUUCUUCCGGUGAUCUGCCUCACCUUUGAAAUGCUUGCCUUUCUUUCGACAUUGAUGGUUGGUCGGAAGAAAUCGACGAUGGCCCAGGUACACAUUCUUCCUGCAUUUGUCCAGGUAUAUACUUUCAGUGUCAUCUAAACAGUGCGUGCAUGCGUGGUAUCCUUUGUUUGUCUAUCCUGAAAGGUUACUGAGAGCGGGCCAAUCGUUGAUGGUCACGAACAGCAACGCCUUAAGGUUAAAUUCCUCCUGGCUGUGCUCAUCCCACGUACGUACACCGUUUUCAUUCCACAGCUGUAAAAGUUCUUGAACUAAUGGCCUUAGGUACACAUCAAUUUCGUUGCCGGGUUGCUUAGGGCCUUGGAUGAGAACUGGCAUCAUAAUGAACUUCCGCUUCAUGCACAUCCAAGGAGGAAGGUUAUACAUACAUAGAGUCAUGGGCCAGGUGCUGUGAUUGCUGCUCUGCUCCCCGAAAGGAUUAAUGCCAUCCGAGCUUAAAGCAAACCAUACAUUCCUUGGGUCCUUUGCAAACUCAUCCCAGUACUUUCUCUCGAUUUUUCUCCACUGCGACCCGUCAGCGGGUGCUCUCAACUUCCCAUCUUUCUUUCGGUUCUCACUGUGCCAUCGCAUCAACUUGGCAUGCUCUUCGUUUUUGAACAGACGUUUCAACCGUGGUAUUAUAGGAGCAUACCACAUCACCUUCGCAGGAACCCUCUUCCUAGGGGGCUCGCCGUCAACAUCACCAGGGUCAUCUCGUCUGAUCUUAUACCACAAUGCACCGCAUACCGGGCAUGCGUUCAGAUCCUUGUAUGCACCACGGUAGAGGAUGCAGUCAUUAGGGCAUGCAUGUAUCUUCUCCACCUCCAAUCCUAGAGGGCAUACGACCUUCUUUGCUGCGUAUGUACUGUCGGGCAAUUCGUUAUCCUUUGGAAGCUUCUUCUUCAAUAUUUUCAGUAGCUUCUCAAAUCCUUUGUCAGCCACAUCAUUCUCUGCCUUCCACUGCAUCAAUUCCAGUAUGGUACCGAGCUUUGUGUUGCCAUCUUCGCAAUUGGGGUAUAACCCUUUUUUGUGAUCCUCUAACAUGCGAUCAAACUUCAGCUUCUCCUUUUGACUAAUGCAUUGCGUCCUUGCAUCGACAAUGACCCGGCGGAGAUCAUCAUCAUCGGGCACAUUGUCUGGUUCCUCUUGAUCUUCAGCAGCUUCACCCGUUGCAGCAUAAUUGGGCACAUCGUCUGGUUCCUCUUGAUCUUCACCAGCUCCCCCCGUUGCAGCAUCACCGUAUUCAGCGGGCACAUAGUUGUCAUCGUAGUCUUCUUCUUCGCCGUCUUCCAUCAUAACCCCUAUUUCUCCGUGCCUCGUCCAAACAUUAUAGUGUGACAUGAAACCCUUGUAAAGUAGGUGGGAGUGAAGGAUUUUCCGGUUAGGGUAAGACCUCGUAUUCCCACAUUCAGUGCAUGGACAACACAUAAAACCAUUCUGCUUGUUUGCCUCAGCCGCAUCGAGAAACUCAUGCACGCCCUUAAUGUACUCGCGGGUGUGUCUGUCACCGUACAUCCAUUGCCGGUUCAUCUGCGUGCAUUAUAUAUAAUUAAGUGUCCAAAUUAAUAGAAGUUCAUCAUCACAUUAAAACCAAAGUGCAUACAUAGUUCUCAUCUAACAACAUAUAGCUCUCCAGAGCAUCUAAUUAAUUAAACCAUACAUUGAAACUAUGUAAAACAUUUCAACGCGAAAAUAAAUGCGAUCAUAAUCGCAACCAAGGUAACAAUUGAUCCAACGGCAUAAUGAUACCAAGCCUCGGUAUGAAUGUCAUAUUUUCUAAUCUUUCUAAUCUUCAAGCGCAUUGCAUCCAUCUUGAUCUUGUGAUCAUCGACGACAUCCGCAACAUGCAACUCCAAUAUCAUCUUCUCCUCCUCAAUUUUUUUUUAUUUUUUCCUUCAACAAAUUGUUUUUUUCAACUAAAUUUAACCUCUCGCCAAUAGGGUCGGUUGGCAUUUCCGAUUCACAUACAUCCUAGAUAAAUAAAAUCUAUGUCACGUUGGUCGGCAUAAUUUUCAUAAACAAUAAAUGAACCAAUAGUUAUAAAGAUAAUAUACAUACCACAUCCGAAUCAUAGACAGGACGAGGGCCGACGGGGGCGGAUACCAAAACCAUCGCACUAUAUAAGAUGCAAUAAUAAAUGUAAGAAAAUGAUACAAGUAUCUAUCUAAACAUACAAGUAAGAAUAUUUUUCCUUUCAGAAAGAAGAUAAGAACAAGAGGCUCACCACGGUGGUGUCGGUGAUGAGAUCGGCGCGGGUGAUCGACGGGGACGGGGCGUGACGGACCGCUAAAUCUAGACAAAUCUCGAGGAAAAUGGAGCUUGGAGGUCGAGCUUCGAGAGGAGAAAGCUUAAGUAGUGUGGCUCGGGCAUUCCAUCGAACACCUCAUGUGCAUAGGAGGUGAGCUAGAGCACCACAAAGCCCUCUCCCCCUCGGCCAGAAAAAAUAGAGCACUGUGCUCCGCUCUUGCGCGAGGGGGUACAUAUAGGCACCUCAUUGGUUCCGGUUGGUGACAUGAGCCGGGACUAAAGGGGAGCCUUUGGUCCCGGUUCAAGCCACCAACCGGGACCAAUGGUGGUGGGCCAGGAGCGAGGCCCAUUGGUCCCGGUUCAUCCCACCAACCGGGACCAAAAGUUCCAGAUGAACUGGGACCAAUGGCCCACGUGGCCCGGCCGCCCCCCUGGGCUCACGAACCGGGACCAAUGCCCACAUUGGUCCCGGUUCUAGACUGAAGCGGGACUAAUGGGCUGACCCGACCUGGACAAAAGCCCUGUUUUCUACUAGUGAUGCAUGAUUUUUGGAGUUGGGCACAUGACCAAAAUGGCCAAUUCUCAGUACGCUCGGCCUACAAUAUGCUCGUUGCGACGAGGCAGAGAAGAGAAGCGUGGCUUGAAGGAUCAGCGGGAUCAUCAAGCACCCGCGCCGAUGAAGGAUCGUGAAAAGCUUUGUGGAAGAUGGCGGUCCCAUCUAAAGUGCAUAUGUUCUUAUGGAGGUUGUCAAAGCAAUCUUUACCUACUAAGGAUGUCAGAGCACACCGUCAUAUGUCGACAACAAGUACCUGCAGCUUUUGUGGGGCUCAGGAUUCAUGGCGGCAUUCCCUCCUAGAAUAUACAGUAUCCAGAUGAACUUGGGCAUUGGUUGACGAGGAACUGAGUUGCACUUUGGCAGCUUCCACAGAAACAAGAGCAAAGAACUAGCUCUUCAGACUUCUUGAUUCCUUAUCGCAUGAGAAAUUUGUCUUAAUGGUGGUGACCCUAUGGGCGAUAUGGACAUCUCGAUGAAAGGCCAUUCAUGAGGCUAUAUUCCAAACACCACAUGCAAUACAAUUGUUCAUUAGUCGGUUUAUUGCAGAUUUGGAAGCUAUUCGUGCCUCCAAUCCUACACGGGCUGCUACAUGGGCUGCUACGGUGAGUACAAGUACAUCAACCCAGAGGCCGAGGGCACCUCCAGCAAACUAUGCCAAAAUUCAUGUUGACGCCGGAGUGCGCACCCGUAGAGGAGGAAUGGCUAUAGCCGUAUACAGGGAUCGCCAGGGCAUGUUUUUGGGCAGCUCGGCCCUAGUCAUUCCAGGAAUUUGGGAUCCAGCCACACUUGAGGUGAUGGCAUGUCGUGAGGCCAUUGCCUUGGCAGAUGAUCUCAAUAUGCAACGCUUCGUUGUGGUGUCUGAUUGCAAGCAGGUGAUUGGGGACAUUGCCAAAGGAAACCAAGGACCUAGCCAUCAUCACUAAAAUCAUCUCUCGAUCGUCACCACUCUCUUGUGCCUUUACUCUUAAAAGUCGUCAGUGUAAUUUCGAAGCUCAUAAGUUAGCUAAAUUUGCUUUGUCUUUAGCUCAGGGGCGUCAUGUGUGGCUUGGCCAGCCGCAUGACCAAACUUGUAUCCCACUCUCUGUGGAGUUUGAAUAAAGUGGCUUUACCCCCUAAAAAACAAAGGCUUCAUCGAAGAAUAGGCCGGUAGUGUCAGCAAACCCUAUUUGACGCUGCAGGCGUCAGUCAUAGGGCAUUUUCGCUAAUGGACGCCUGUAGCGCUCCCGCGUUGGGCCGGCCCAUCUCACACCUUUUUAUUCCGGCCUAAUAUGCAAAAAUGAGUGCUAAAGAGAUUCGGUGUAAGUUCAACUCGCAUCAACCAACCGGGAAAGACAACCCAUCGUGGCAAAUUCCCUUCCUUUUCAUCUUUUAUACUUUUCAAGCGUUUUUCUUUCUUGUUGUGUGUUUUUUCUAGACCUAUUUUUCGUUUUAGUUUUUUUUUAUUUCUUUUUUCACAUUUUUUCUUCUUUCUUUACUUUUUAUGCACAAACUAAUUCAAAUUGGAUGAAUUUUUUUCAAAUCGGUGAACUUUUUUCAACUUUGGUGAUUUUUUUUUCAAAAUUGAUGAACUUUUUAUUCAAAAUCAAGAUCUUUUUUGAACAUCGACGAAAUUUCUCAAAACCUGUGAACUUUUUUCAAAUCCGAUGAACUUUUUUCUCAUAUGGACGAACUUUUCUACAAAACCGGUGAACUUUUUUUUAAAUUGCUGGACUUUUUUCAAAUUUGAUAAAGUUUUUUCCAAAAUCAGUGAACUUUUUUCAAAUCCGAUGAACUAUUUUUCAAAUUCGAUGAACUUUUUUCAAAAUCGAUGGCCUAUUUCAAAUAGAAUGAACUUUUUUUAAAAUUGCUGGAAUUUUUUCAAAUUUGAUAAAGUUUUUUCCAAAAUCAGUGAACUUUUAUCAAAUCCGAUGAACUUUUUAACAAAUUGAUGGACUUUCUAGAAAUUCGGGAACUGUUUUCAAAAUUUAACGAACUGUUUUCUUAUUAGAAAAUUUGAUAUUUUCUAAAUAAUUUUCAAAUAACUCAAAAAUAUUAGUGGUAUAGUAAAUGGUGAGUAAUAAAUAGCGUGGUUGCAUUAGUUCUAAUGCAGUCUGCGUUAAUUUUUGUUCACUAGCGCUCUAAGCUGUAGUGGUUAAACUAAGGAAUUACAGGUGAGUGUGGCCUGACAUCGAUACCUCGUUCUGCCGAUUUUCCUUGUGUGUUUUUUCGGGAACGAAUCUGUUCCUAAGCCGAGCGUAGAAAGUAGAAACGGCCAACAGAGGGCGCGCUGUAGGCACCACUUCACAGGAGUGGCAAUGGGUCGCCAUGGACCUCCCCAGAAGCAGCUAACACCAACAGGUUUUUCUCAACAACAAAAAAAAAAA
rnacentral:lncRNA from 1 species